UAGCGGAGGGGCGAGCGUUAUUCGGAAUUAUUGGGCGUAAAGGGCGCGUAGGCGGCUGAACAAGUCAAAGGUGAAAUCCCUCGGCUCAACUGAGGAACUGCCUUUGAAACUGUUCGGCUUGAGGCCGGGAGGGGUAGCGGAAUUCCCAGUGUAGCGGUGAAAUGCGUAGAUAUUGGGAGGAACACCAGUGGCGAAGGCGGCUACCUGGACCGGUUCUGACGCUGAGGCGCGAAAGCGUGGGUAGCAAACAGG
rnacentral:rRNA from 1 species